rnacentral:rRNA from 1 species
CAAACCAAAGCUGGCGACCGGCGCACGGGUGAGUAACACGUAUCCAACCUGCCUCAUACUCGGGGAUAGCCUUUCGAAAGAAAGAUUAAUAUCCGAUAGCAUAUAUUUCCCGCAUGGGUUUUAUAUUAAAGAAAUUCGGUAUGAGAUGGGGAUGCGUUCCAUUAGUUUGUUGGGGGGGUAACGGGCCCACCAAGACUACGAUGGAUAGGGGUUCUGAGAGGAAGGUCCCCCACAUUGGAACUGAGACACGGUCCAAACUCCUACGGGAGGCAGCAUG